rnacentral:rRNA from 1 species
CAAUAGCGUAUAUUAAAGUUGUUGCAGUUAAAAAGCUCGUAGUCGCAUUUCUGGAACGGAAAGUCAAUCCAGCCUUAGGUUGGUAUUCGACUCUUCUGUUCCAUCUUUGAGUGGUCCAUUCUGGCAUUAAGUUGUCGGAGUGUUAGCCGCUCAUCGUUUACUGUGAGAAAAUUAGAGUGUUCAAAGCAGGCUUAGGCCGUUGAAUGUAUUAGCAUGGAAUAAUAAGAUAGGACCUUGGUACUAUUUUGUUGGUUUGCGCACCAAGGUAAUGAUUAAUAGGGACAGUUGGGGGUAUUCGUAUUUCAUUGUCAGAGGUGAAAUUCUUGGAUUUUUGAAAGACGAACUACUGCGAAAGCAUUUACCAAGGAUGUUUUCAUUAAUCAAGAACGAAAGUUAGGGGAUCGAAGACGAUCAGAUACCAU